rnacentral:tRNA from 1 species
AUUUAUAUAGUUUAUAAAAACAUUACAUUUUCAUUGUAAAAUAAGAAAAGUUUUCUUAUAAAUA